GACGGUUUAUGAGACGUUUUAAAUAACGCCCUAGUUUUACAUUGAUUUCUCAAAAAUUAAGAUUUACAUUGAAUUUUUUUUUCUCCUGGAAACCACCCACGUCCUCAUCCUCUCUGCGUGCUGCAACAAACUCCCAUCUAGAUUGAACUGCCUGCUUGGUGCCGCCGCCUAUCUUCCACCGGUCGCCAUCUCGAUGCCUGCCGCCGGCUCGUCCUCGACCGGGGGCCAGCGGCGCCUCAUCCUCGGCGAGUCAAUGCCACAUCUGCCUCCUCCUCCUCAGGCCGCCGCCCACCACUGCCUGCUCUGAUCCUCGCCAUAGGAGCCACCGCUGGCAGUUUGCCGCCUUAUCAGCGACUCCCCGUCGCCAACGCGUCCCUCCCUCAGUUGCCUUCACCAGCCCAGCGACAACUCCACGGUGGUAGCUUGGUAGGUAUGCUCUCUCAUCCCCUAAUCUGUAAGGCUUAAGGAACUACAAAGGUGCUUUGAUUUGUUUGUGUGAUUCAAUUUGUCCAGACUUUAUGUUGAGUUCUACCCCAUCGGAUUAUUUCGUAAUCCUGCAGAAGUAUAAAAGAGUAAAUAUUGAUCUGUACCUUUCGUUCUUUCUGCUUCAGGGAUGAACCAUCGUACUAGUUGUUUGACGAAAUGCUAAUACCAAUACUUGCAUGAUGCAGAUCUGAUAAUCAAUUUGAUGAUUUGUGAACCUCUGUGGAUCAAUCAAUACCAAUAUGUCGAUCAUUAAGGGCUCAUUAUAAAUUCUUUUUUGCUACUGAUUCCAUUCCAUUUGAUGACUACAUUUGGAAUUUUAGCUUCAAGAAGGCACAAAAAUACAGAUGAGUAUUGUUGAAGUUCUGAAUGAUGCGAUGGUUCUUCAUACUGUCCUUCGGUGGCAUAUGAGUAAAGGAAUAGAGAUGCUGGUCCAAAAUGGGAGAUUUGCUUUCUAUAUGCUGAAGUUUCCAAAGUAUUUACAUGCAGGAGGGAGAGCAACUGCUAAAGUGUCAAAGAAGAUACUGAAGAUUGUAAAGGAUUGCUACAUCAUGCUGUGAAGGAGGAGGAGAUAAAGCAAGAAUUAUCUUAAGAACAGUUAUAGAUAUAUUUUAUCAUGCUGUGAAGAAGGGAGGAGAUAAAACAAGAAUUAUCUUAGGAAGAGUUAUAAAUUUAUUUUUCUAAGAGAUGACGCAAAUCUCUUUUUUCUGUAUGGCUGUUUAGCUGACUUGUGAAUCACAAUUGUCCUUAAUAUAAUUACCUUUCAUCUA